ACCUGAACAGGAAGGGCUGGUGCUGAUAUGGCUGGGGGGAUAUAGGCUGGCACUAUUUGUGCCUAGCUAUUUUCCUUGUUUUUUUUUUUUUACUGUGUGGCAGCAGUUAUGUGAAGCACGUUGUUGAUGCAAGUCUUGUGCUUGGAGGAGUUCAGCAAUCAAGACUGGCUUACUGAAGAGCUUAAAACACUUCUGUCAUAGUUCUCCUGAGAUGCCUAAUCAAAAUUUGUCAGUUCUUUGCUCUUAACCUCGCUAUGCAAGUGAUGCUGCAGCUCAGUGCUGUGCCGAAUCCCAGUGCAGCUAUAGUUGGGGUCAGAGUUUCCCUAUGGAAAUGGUGUGGCUGUGAGGGAGGGCAUUAGCAACUACUUCACCAGCUACUGAUUACACUGAAACUGGUACAAACAACCAGGCUCUCUGUAGUAACCCUGACACUCACAUUGUUUGGGUAAACUGGGAAAGCUGUCCACCCUUGGUGGGGUGGAGACGUGGCUAAUCAUCCCCAGGGCCCAGCUGUAGAGGCUCAAAGUAGUGCAUGUGAUAGCACACAGCUGUAAAGUUUGAAUUUGUUUUUGACUUUUUGUAACUUCAGGCUGUUUGGGUCCAGAGCUCAAGGGCUGGGUCUGCAAUUUGUAGCAUGUUUGUUUCUUUAACCAAGCUGAGAGGGUUGUUUCUGUUCCCUAUCUCAUUUUAAGGCUAAAAGCAAAAUAGGGACAAGCAGAAAGUUCAACAGUCUCGGACCCUCAGAGAUGGGAGGGCACUCUGCUUCUCUGGGUGGUUUGAUCAGUUAUCUCAACGAUUCCUAAUAAAAAAAUCAGCAAAGUCUGUGACUUCAUCGCUUCCAUCUGCCUUUGCUGCCCUAAUCCUGGCCCACACCUCAGAGCAAAGCUUACUCUCAAUUACCUGGCAAUAUUUUGCUUUUGAACCAGUUCCUGCCUUCUGGCCACAGCUUCCAUGGAUUCCGGCUGGAGAAAGCUAGAAAUGAUGCAAAAUACCUGUCUACCAGUCGAGGCUCGAACUGGGAGGAAAUCGUCUGCAUUCUCUGCUGGCCGGUGCCCAUUAGCGGGGGGUUUACUGCCAUCAGCUGAUUCCUCAUGAGCAUCUCCUGGCGCUGCCGCAGUUCUGACACAAAGCAUACACAGUUUCUGCUGCCACCUUAACUGCUUUGUUUAAGUAAUGCGGUUUUAUACAAUCAAAAUGCAGUAAAAAUAAGCAGGAUGUGCACAGUCAAGUGUAUAAAGGGACAAUUUACAAUCAGCAAUAACUUGUAUAUCACUAUUAAACUAGAAGGGCAUAGCCAUGAACGUGAA